rnacentral:lncRNA from 1 species
ACAGGGGAGGAAGACAUUGUUACCUGGAAAUGGGUGCUCAACGGGAGAAGACACUCGAAGAAGAAGAGGGAAACCUGGAGAGAUAAGCGCCAGAGACAGAAAUGAAAACGGUUUCACUUCCUUGCGUCAUUAAAAGCGUGGAGGUUACGAAACUGGAUGUAUCGUCUGCACCGUUAGAUGUAUUUCAUCUAACGGCCUCUUUUUCACGACUCUUACGCUAC